CAAUAUUCCCCUUCCAUGCAACUGGACUGUACUAUGAUAGUGUUUCUACCACCUAGGGAAUUAGAAUGCUUCUCACGCUUCCCUUUCUCUUAGCGUUUCGUCUUUGAUUCUAGCUAAUCGUUGUUUAUGCUUCUUACAGGGUGCAGUAAGGUUUGAUCUUCUUGUCUAAUAAUCACAACAAUAGCGAAAAAUGGUAAUUCAUAUUGAGAAGUAGCGAAAUAGCAACCUUUGCUACCAUCUUCAAUUUCAGGAAGCUAAUGAAGAAUCAAAAGCCGUUACAAAAGUAUCUGCUAUGAAAGGACAUUAUGUGUGGCUGAAACUUAAUACUCUAUGAUCACCGACGGAAAUGCAACAUCAUUUUCAGCUAUCAAGAAGAGGAUGGAGAAGGAUAUUGAUGAAGUUAGAAGGAUUGAACAUGGUGUCAAAACAAAAGUAGAAGCUGUAAACAGAGAUGUAAUGAGAUGAAAUAAUGACUUGAUCUUUUAGUAGAUUUUCGUCCUGAAAUUUCAAACAUAUGAGGAAUUUUUAUA